GGUUGGCUAGCUCAGUUGGUUAGAGCAUUCGCUUAACAUUUAUGCUUCGCGAAAGGUCCGCGGUUCGACCCCGUGGUCGAUCA
rnacentral:tRNA from 1 species